GAGUGCAAUCAUACUAGCGUUAAUGCACCAAAUACCAUCAAAAGUCUGUAGUUAAGCGCACUUGGGAUAAAGUAGUAAUGGGAUGGGUGACCUCCUGAGAAGUCCUAGUGUUUCACCCU
rnacentral:rRNA from 1 species